GAUGAACGCUGGCGGCAUGCCUAAUACAUGCAAGUCGAGCGAACAGACGAGGAUCUUUCUCCUCUGACGUUAGCGGCGGACGGGUGAUUAACACGUGGAUAACCUACCUAUAAGACUUGCAUAACUUCAGGAAACCUGAUCUAAUACCGGAUAAUAUAUUGAACCUCAUGGUUCAAUAGUGCAAGCCGUUUUUGCUGUCCCUUAUAGAUGGAUCCUCGCCGCAUUAGCUAGUUGGUAAGGUAACGGCUUACCAAGGCAACGAUGCGUAGCCGACCUGAGAGGGUGAUCGGCCACACUGGAACUGAGACACGGUCCAGACUCCUACGGGAGGCAGCAGUAGGGAAUCUUCCGCAAUGGGCGAAAGCUUGACGGAGCAACGCCGCGUGAGUGAUGAAGGUCUUCGGAUCGUAAAACUCUGUUAUUAGGGAAGAACAAAUGUGUAAGUAACUAUGCACGUCUUGACGGUACCUAAACAGAAAGCCACGGCUAACUACGUG
rnacentral:rRNA from 1 species